AUUGAACGCUGGCGGCAUGCCUUACACAUGCAAGUCGAGCGGCAGCGCGUCCGACCACCCUCGGGUGGUCGGAUGGCGGCGAGCGGCGGACGGGUGAGGAAUGCAUCGGAAUCUGCCUCGUAGUGGGGGAUAACGUUUCGAAAGGAACGCUAAUACCGCAUACGUUCUGAGGAAGAAAGCAGGGGACCUUCGGGCCUUGCGCUAUGAGAUGAGCUUGCGUCCGAUUAGCUAGUUGGUGGGGUAAAGGCCUACCAAGGCGACGAUCGGUAACUGGUCUGAGAGGAUGAUCAGUCACACUGGAACUGAGACACGGUCCAGACUCCUACGGGAGGCAGCAGUGGGGAAUAUUGGACAAUGGGGGCAACCCUGAUCCAGCCAUGCCGCGUGAGUGAAGAAGGCCUCGGUUGUAAGCUCUUCGUCCGGGACGAAAUACGCACAGGUUAAUACCCUGUGUGGAUGACGGUACCGGACGUAAGAAGCACCGG
rnacentral:rRNA from 1 species